rnacentral:rRNA from 1 species
GACAGAGGAUGCAAGCGUUAUCCGGAAUGAUUGGGCGUAAAGCGUCUGUAGGUGGCUUUUUAAGUCCGCCGUCAAAUCCCAGGGCUCAACCCUGGACAGGCGGUGGAAACUACCAAGCUGGAGUACGGUAGGGUCAGAGGGAAUUUCCAGUGGAGCGGUGAAAUGCGUAGAUCUUGGAAAGACCACCAAUGGCGAAGGCACUCUACUGGGCCAUGACUGACACUAAGAGACGAAAGCUAGGGGAGCAAAUGGG